rnacentral:rRNA from 1 species
AGCAGCCGCGGUAAUUCCAGCUCCAAUAGCGUAUAUUAAAGUUGUUGCAGUUAAAAAGCUCGUAGUUGAAUUUCGGGAUUGACGUGACGGUCAUGCCUUAAGGGGUAUGAACUGUUGCAGUUGAUUUCUCACCUUCUGGAGAAACUUGAUGUCCUUUAUUGGGUGUCUUGCGGAUCCAGGACCUUUACCUUGAAAAAUUAGAGUGUUUAAAGCAGGCAUUUUUGCUCGAAUACAUUAGCAUGGAAUAAUAGAAUAGGACGGCAUGGUUCUAUUUUGUUGGUUUCUAGGAUCACCGUAAUGAUUAAUAGGGAUAGUUGGGGGCAUUAGUAUUCAAUUGUCAGAGGUGAAAUUCUUGGAUUUAUUGAAGACUAACUACUGCGAAAGCAUUUGCCAAGGAUG